rnacentral:rRNA from 1 species
GACGAACGCUGGCGGCGUGCUUAACACAUGCAAGUCGAGCGGUAAGGCCCUUUCGGGGGUACGACGAGCGGCGAACGGGUGAGUAACACGUGGGUGACCUGCCCUCAGCUCUGGGAGUAAGCCUGGGAAACUGGGUCUAAUACUGGAUAUGACUCCACGGUGCAUGUCGUGGGGUGGAAAGCCUUGUGCGGCUGAGGAUGGGCCCGCGGCCUAUCAGCUUGUUGGUGGGGUGANGGCCUACCAAGGCGACGACGGGUAGCCGGCCUGAGAGGGCGACCGGCCACACUGGGACUGAGACACGGCCCAGACUCCUACGGGAGGCAGCAGUGGGGAAUCUUGCGCAAUGGGCGAAAGCCUGACGCAGCGACGCCGCGUGAGGGAUGACGGCCUGGUUGUAACU